UGAAWUAMAAGGUAUUGAAUAAGAUUUUAAUUGAAUGCUAAGAGAAUGGAAGUCCAGAAAAAAACUUUUUUUAAAUUAAAAAUUGAAGUUUUUUUAAUUUGUGCAGAAACAAUUAUUUAUAUUAAAGACAAGAAGACCCUAUGAAUUUAUUAAAUUUUUAUUUAAUAUGUAAUUACUAUUAGAAAAAUUUUGGCUGGGGCGGCUAGAAAAUAUUAUGAACUUUUUAAAAAUAAAAUGAUCCAUUAUUAAUGAUUUUAUGUUAAAUACUCUAGGGAUAACAGCGUUAUAUUUUUUGAUAGAUCAUAUUGACAAAAAAGUUUGCGACCUCGAUGUUGGAUUAGGAUACUUUUUUAAUGAAGAUAUUAAAAAAAGAAGUUUGUUCAACUUUUAAUUUCCUACUUGAUCUGAKUCAGACCGGA
rnacentral:rRNA from 1 species